rnacentral:tRNA from 1 species
GCGGACGUGCUGGAAUUGGUAGACAGGCUAGCUUGAGGAGCUAGUGGGCUUAUAGCCCGUGGAGGUUCAAGUCCUCUCGUCCGCA